AAUGUACUCCCUCCAUUCGGAAUUACUUGUCGUAGAAAUGGAUGUAUCUAGACAUUUUUUAGUUCUAGAUACAUCCAUUUCUACGACAAGUAAUUCGGAAUGGAGGGAGUAUAUC
rnacentral:pre_miRNA from 1 species